UGCAGUCGAGCGGACAGAUGGGAGCUUGCUCCCUGAUGUUAGCGGCGGACGGGUGAGUAACACGUGGGUAACCUGCCUGUAAGACUGGGAUAACUCCGGGAAACCGGGGCUAAUACCGGAUGGUUGUUUGAACCGCAUGGUUCAAACAUAAAAGGUGGCUUCGGCUACCACUUACAGAUGGACCCGCGGCGCAUUAGCUAGUUGGUGAGGUAAUGGCUCACCAAGGCUACGAUGCGUAGCCGACCUGAGAGGGUGAUCGGCCACACUGGGAC
rnacentral:rRNA from 1 species